UCCUAGCCCCGACAGUAGCGGCAUCCUUUGCUUGCCGUCUUUAGGCAAGGAAAGAUACAGCGGAUUGCGGGAUUAGCU
rnacentral:sRNA from 1 species